CACGUAGUUAGCCGUGGCUUUCUGGUUAGGUACCGUCAAGGUACCGGCAGUUACUCCGGUACUUGUUCUUCCCUAACAACAGAGCUUUACGACCCGAAGGCCUUCAUCGCUCACGCGGCGUUGCUCCAUCAGACUUUCGUCCAUUGUGGAAGAUUCCCUACUGCUGCCUCCCGUAGGAGUCUGGGCCGUGUCUCAGUCCCAGUGUGGCCGAUCACCCUCUCAGGUCGGCUACGCAUCGUCGCCUUGGUGAGCCGUUACCUCACCAACUAGCUAAUGCGCCGCGGGCCCAUCUGUAAGUGACAGCGAGAGGCCGUCUUUCAGCUUUUCCUCAUGAGAGGAAAAGGAUUAUCCGGUAUUAGCCCCGGUUUCCCGGAGUUAUCCCAGUCUUACAGGCAGGUUGCCCACGUGUUACUCACCCGUCGCCGCUGACCUUCCGAAGAGGUCCGCUCGACUUGCAUGUAUUAGGCACGCCGCCAGCGUUCGUCCUGAGCCAGGAUCAAACUCU
rnacentral:rRNA from 1 species